GUGAGGAAUAUUGCGCAAUGGGCGAAAGCCUGACGCAGCGACGCCGCGUGAGGGACGACGGCCUUCGGGUUGUAAACCUCUGUCAGCAGGGAAGAGAACGGACGGUACCUGCUGAGGAAGCAUCGGCUUACUACGUGCCAGCAGCCGCGGUAAUACGUAGGAUGCGAGCGUUGUCCGGAUUUACUGGGCGUAAAGAGCUCGUAGGCGGGAACAUACGUCUGGAAUCAAAUCCCACGGCUCAACUGUGGGUCCUGUCCAGAUACGGUGUUUCUUGAGGGCAGAAGAGGAGAAUAGGAUUCCCAGUGUAGCGGUGAAAUGCGUAGAUAUUGGGAAGAAUACCAGUGGCGAAGGCGAUUCUCUGGUCUGUCUCUGACGCUGAGGAGCGAAAGCGUGGGUAGCGAACGGGAUUAGAAACCCCCGGUAGUCC
rnacentral:rRNA from 1 species